AUCCUCUCAGGGUCACACCUGAAGAGUUUCCAGUACUCUACCAGUCUUGACUCCCAGAGGGAGAGUCAUGUAGAAGCAUACCCAUUCCACUCCUAGCUUGGCCAUUGGCUAGCGAGUGGAAGGCAACCUGCUAUAAGU